GACCGCUGUGCAUUCUGCACAGCCGAGGCCACACGGACAGCCGGGUCGAAUGCCGA
rnacentral:sRNA from 1 species